UUUUAUCCAUUUUUCUUGAAAACUAAUAAUUUUAAAACUAUCUAAUUUUAAUGUAUCAAAUUUAUUUAAAUUAUUAUUUUUAAUUUCAAGAAACUUUUUGUUGUAAAAAUUAUUUUGUCUAAAACUAAAGUUGUCAAUAAUAAAUUGUGGAAGAUGACUAGUUAAUUUAAUUUUAGUUUCAUCAAGUUCUUUUUCUAACAUCCUAAUAUCUGAAAAAGUAACUUUAAUUUCUAAAUUAAGUAUAUUCUUUCCCAACCUCGAAUUAAAAUUGUGAAUGAGAUUUCCAGUUCUUCCUCUUGUGUGGUUUACCAAAUUGUUUACGUUUACCGUUCCAUUGCUUAUAUGUUUAGGUAGAAGGUGGUGUUUUCUACAUUUUAAUAAAAAAAUCUUUCUGUUUCUCAAAGAUGCCAGUUUGUUGUUCAAGUUUGCCCAUUGUUUUAGGAAUCCAACAGCAGCAGGACCAUAUUCAUAGUAGAUGUUACCAUAAAACCCCAUUAUAACCAAUCUAUGAUUAUUAAUAUGUAGUGACUGUUAAUAAUACAAAAAGAAUAAUUUUGGGGAAUGCAGUCAAUGUGUUUUGGGCUGAUUA
rnacentral:lncRNA from 1 species